AGGGUUUGAUUAUGGCUCAGGAUGAACGCUGGCGGCGUGCCUAACACAUGCAAGUCGAACGGAGAAUAAGAGAAAGCUUGCUUUUUCUUAUUCUUAGUGGCGGACGGGUGAGUAACGCGUGAGCAACCUGCCUUUCAGAGGGGGAUAACGUCUGGAAACGGACGCUAAUACCGCAUGACACAUGACCGUGGCAUCACGGACAUGUCAAAGGAGCAAUCCGCUGAGAGAUGGGCUCGCGUAUGAUUAGAUAGUUGGCGGGGUAACGGCCCACCAAGUCGACGAUCAUUAGCCGGACUGAGAGGUUGAACGGCCACAUUGGGACUGAGACACGGCCCAG
rnacentral:rRNA from 1 species